UAGGGAAUCUUCCACAAUGGACGCAAGUCUGAUGGAGCAACGCCGCGUGAGUGAAGAAGGGUUUCGGCUCGUAAAGCUCUGUUGUUAAAGAAGAACACGUAUGAGAGUAACUGUUCAUACGUUGACGGUAUUUAACCAGAAAGUCACGGCUAACUACGUGCCAGCAGCCGCGGUAAUACGUAGGUGGCAAGCGUUAUCCGGAUUUAUUGGGCGUAAAGAGAGUGCAGGCGGUUUUCUAAGUCUGAUGUGAAAGCCUUCGGCUUAACCGGAGAAGUGCAUCGGAAACUGGAUAACUUGAGUGCAGAAGAGGGUAGUGGAACUCCAUGUGUAGCGGUGGAAUGCGUAGAUAUAUGGAAGAACACCAGUGGCGAAGGCGGCUACCUGGUCUGCAACUGACGCUGAGACUCGAAAGCAUGGGUAGCGAACAGGAUUAGAUACCCUGGUAGUCCAUGCCGUAAACGAUGAGUGCUAGGUGUUGGAGGGUUUCCGCCCUUCAGUGCCGGAGCUAACGCAUUAAGCACUCCGCCUGGGGAGUACGACCGCAAGGUUG
rnacentral:rRNA from 1 species